CUCUCUUCUCCUUUCUCCCCCAGGCACCUUCUUCCUCCUUGCGCAGGGCGGCAGCAGCCACCAGCGAGCCCUGCUCCAUGGGCGUCACCCCUCACCUUCUUCCUCCCCACGGCUGCAGCUCUUCCACUCCUCCCUCACGCCAGCAGCAGCCCCCUGUUCAUGGCUGCCAGCCCUUGCUCCCCUUUUGCCCCACUGCGCAGCAGCUCUGCGCUCCACCUCCCAUGGACGCCCAGAAAUUCCAGCAGCAAGGACUCCAUAGCAGCAGCAGCUUGACCCUCUGCUCCCAGCCAUGGCGCCCAAAAAAAAAUCCCCUAGCCGAGCCACCUCUCCCAGCCAGCGCCCCUGUUCCCUUGCUCCUUCUCCCUCGCACAGCAGCAGCUCGCCCCACCUUCCCUCGCUGCGCAGCUCCUCGGCGAAACGCCGCUGUUCCUGCAAGCCCCGGCUUCCUCGCUGCUACCGCUGCGCGCAUGCCAAGUGCUCGGCAUAAUGUCAAGGGAGAUGUGUUGUUGCAGCACGUUGUGACGCUCCCCGGGUGUUCACUGUUUUUGGCGCAGACCCGCUCGCGACAUCGUCGACCCUCGCCACCGUCAAAAUCACGCUCCGCGUUUGGCCGUUCGACGAAAUGCCAAGCCUUAUGGACAGCCCAUGUGACUAGCCUCGAUUCGUCCAG
rnacentral:misc_RNA from 1 species